AGGAGUUUAGCUUAAUUGGUAGAGCACUAAUCUUACAAAUUAGCAUAUAUAGGUUCGAAUCCUAUAUCUCCUA
rnacentral:tRNA from 1 species